AGAGUUUGAUCAUGGCUCAGAACGAACGCUGGCGGCAGGCCUAAUACAUGCAAGUCGAGCGGACGUAGCAAUACGUCAGCGGCGGACGGGUGAGUAACACGUGGGAACAUACCUUUCGGUACGGAACAACUCAGGGAAACUUGAGCUAAUACCGUAUGCGCCGGCAACGGGAAAGAUUUAUCGCCGAGGGAUUGGCCCGCGUCCGAUUAGCUAGUUGGUGAGGUAACGGCUCACCAAGGCACCGAUCGGUAGCUGGUUUGAGAGAACGACCAGCCACACUGGGACUGAGACACGGCCCAGACUCCUACGGGAGGCAGCAGUAGGGAAUCUUGGACAAUGGGGGAAACCCUGAUCCAGCCAUGCCGCGUGAGUGAUGAAGGCCUUCGGGUUGUAAAACUCUUUCGGCGGGGACGAUAAUGACGGUACCCGCAGAAGAAGCUCCGGCUAACUUCGUGCCAGCAGCCGCGGUAAUACGAAGGGGGCUAGCGUUGUUCGGAAUUACUGGGCGUAAAGCGCGCGCAGGCGGCCUUUCAAGUCAGGGGUGAAAGCCCGGAGCUCAACUCCGGAAUUGCCUUUGAAACUGUCAGGCUCGAGUACGGGAGAGGUGAGUGGAAUUCCCAGUGUAGAGGUGAAAUUCGUAGAUAUUGGGAAGAACACCGGUGGCGAAGGCGGCUCACUGGCCCGUUUUCUGACGCUCAGGCGCGACAGCGUGGGGAUCAAACAGGAUUAGAUACCCUAGUAGUCC
rnacentral:rRNA from 1 species